ACGAAGCCAUGCAUGCCCGCUCACCCGGGACGCGGCGGACGGCUCAGGACAACGGUUGCACCCCCCGCGGCGGUCCCUGCUAGCCGGACACCGCUGGCAACCCGGCGCCAAGACGUGCGCGCAAGGGCGGGCGCCCGCGGGCGAGCAGCGUGACGCAGCGACGGCCCGCCCGGGCUUCCGGGGCAUCACCCGGUCGGCGCGGUCGCGGCGCGCCGAGGGCCCG
rnacentral:rRNA from 1 species